AAGCAACCCACCUUGGAGGCCUAUAAAAGGGAGCCCCCACCCCUCAUUCAGCACACACCAUUUGGAGAGGAGAAGUGUCCAAGCAAGAUGUAGUCCCAGUUAGUAGAAUAUGGAGAGUGUGAGGUGAGAGUCUUGGCGAAAGCCAAAGUAAAGGAGCGGUACCGAGUUCUCUCGGUCUUACUCCAUUUUGUAAGCCACCUCGGAGGAAUGGAAUAUCUUCGGAGUGAAGUUCCUCGUCUCUCGUCGUUAUCUCUCUAGUCUUUCUCUUUACUUCAGUUACUUGUUUACUUUCUGUCAUUGAUUAGCGGGAUCCCUAGUCUGUGUAAGUAGCAAGUUCUACUUAUUUGAGAGUGCUUUCUGUCUUGCCGGGAGUAGGAGUACGUAACUCAAUUGUGUUAGGCGUGGUGCCUAGACUUGGUUAGUUACAUAGGAUGGUGUUCCACCCCACGGAACCGUUGUGGUAGGCGGCAGGUGGUGACAGCCCUGUCCGUCCCUCGUAGUCCACCACAUUCGGGUGUUUUCAUAGCAGUAGUUGCAGGUUGCCGUUGGACUCCCCUCUCACCCCUUUCUGAAGUCCUUCCUCUUCCAGCCGCCCAAGCAGAUCAACAUAGUUUAGUUGCAAGUCCUUUGGGUAAUGAGUUGGCUAACCGAUGUUAGACCCUCUACCCACUUACCUCUCUUCCCCUAGUGGGUCCGGUUGAACUAGUUCUAGGUUUGGUCGAAGCUUUACCGUUCCUUGGAUUCGAUAUCCCAGGUAUACUCCCUGGUGAAAGAUACAAUCGGUCUCUGUGCGCUUGCGGAGUAAUUCGUUUAGGCUAAAGAGUGCCAACAAGCUUUCUGUUACCGUUGCCGGGGAAUGGUAGCAAGACUAUUCUAGAAUUCGUUCAGCUGUACACCUUUCCGCCCAUCCACAUGGAGUUCUACUCCUAGUUAUCCGGCAAUUCCAUCCCGCGAGUAUUUGGAACGGCCACCAUCUUACCAUCCCCCCCCUUAUCUGAUGGUUACAAGAUCAAUCCCAAUCUCAUAAAUCAUGGUUCGCGCAAAGUCCUUCUCUAUGAGAAAGGACAAGAAUCCCUGCUGGAAUUCAACUAUACCCGGUUCGAACCAAAACACCUUACGGUGAAGCUCUCCCCAUUCUCUCUAACGGGCGAAGCGAAAAUUUGGUACGACCAGACGGCGGGGAGAGUUGUAGGAGAUUGGAUCAAGUUGAAGGAUGAAUUUUGCUCCCCUGCUACCAAAGUGUUCGCACUUGGAACAGAGUGGGAAAGAUCUUUGCUAAUGGCAAAAUCCGGGAUACCUCAUCAAAUUCCGGAAGAUGUUGAAGCAACAUUUUGUUAGUUUUUUCUUCCACCCAAACCAACUGAUCACCCUAUCAGCUGCAUCCUCUCACCUCCACCACGUAUUGUGGAAAUUACCGAACCACUCAAGUCCAUAGAUUAUGAGCCACUCAUUGAUGAUAUGCCAAUGCUCAUCAUGACCUCGGUCAUGUUUCAAACAUGCCGAAGGAGUAUAAGUGCAUAUGCUCAAGAUCUGAGGCAUUCAUUCCAAAUGCUACGUCAUAGAUUGAGGGUCUUACUGUGAUCACUAGCAAGGAAUGGUAGAGGAGCGGAAUUCAAUUCUUGAAAACUCCUUUGCACUAUUGGGGAUGCUGCAGCACAAGAGAACUUCUACGAUCCGAAGGAAAUCGUGUCCUUCUCCCGUAAGCACCCGAAGUGGAUCGAUGGCCAGAUGAUGGAGAGUAAGGAGAUUUUUCCAUGUUAUGUCCUUAAAGAUGGGGCAUAACAAGAUCUUUCUGGAUCUCCACAUCUUCGAUAUCCCUGAAGGUGAAAAGUUCUCUUGAUCAGUCAGCCAAUAGAGCUACUUGUCAGCCCUAAUGGAUACCAAGAUACUCUUCAUAGCUCGAGGUUGACAAAGAUAAGAUCCUGGUUAGUCUAGUCCAUUCAGGUAAUACAAAAGACUAGACCGGAGCAAGAUCGAGUGGAGAAGGCAGUUUAUCUCUGAAGAAGAUGCCAUUCACUUCACCUAGGAAACAGAUCCGGGCGGCCACCUCAAGUUCAACGAAGAAGAAAAACCGCAACAUCUUCUUCCUGAGCUGAAACCACUGCCUCCUAGGCUGAAGUUUGCCUUUCUCCAACAACAACAGUAGCAUGCUAGUCUUCAUCAGCGACAAGCUGACAGAGAGUGAGACUUGGCUGCUCGUUGCAGUCCUAGAGAAGUACCGGUCCGUCAUCGGGUAUUCUCUCCAUGACUAGAAAGGGGAUCAGCCCCGACUUGUGCACCCAUCGCAUUUUUAUGAAACGGGAUCAUAAGUCAUCUCGAGAGCACCAGUGAUGGCUGAACAAUGAGAUGAGGAAGGUAGUGAACCAAGAGGUGUUGAUACUACUGCACGCAGGCGUCAUCAACCACGUGUAAGAUAGUGUUUUGGUCAGCCUAGUUCAAGUGGUCACAAAGAAGGGAGCAAUCACCUCUGAGAGUAGAGCACUCAUAUCCCAGAGGAAAGUCAUCAAGUACGUGUAUCGAUAGUCAACAAGACUAUCUGUAAUGACCACUAUCCUCUCCCUUUCUUUGACAAGAUGCUUGAAUGGCUGGCUAAGCACUCAUUCUUCCAAUACCUUGACGGAUAUUCUGGUCAUCACCAAAUUGGUAUGACCAAGUAAGACUACCUUCACCUGUCCCUAUGGCACAUUCGCCUACUGGUGAAUGUCGUUGGUCUUUGCAAUGCACUUGCUUUACUUCAGAGGUGUAAGAUGGCGACUUUCUCUGACCAAAUCGAGAGCAUCAUGAAGGGUUUCAUGGAUGAUUUCUCAGUCCCUAGCAAAGAUUACCUUGAGAAUUCAGACAAAGUUCUUAAGAAUUGCCAAGAAACACACUUUAACCUUAAUUGGGAGAAGUAUCACUUUAUGGUCCGAGCAAAAAUUGUCCUCGGACAUUGAGUGCCAUGAGGCACUCGUUUCUUCACCCAUCAUGCAUCCUCCCGAUUGGAAAUUUCCUUUCGAGACCACGUGCGAUGCAAAUGACUACGCCGUCAGUGCAGUGUUGGGUCAAUGCAAGGAUAAUCAGCAUUAUGCCAAAUCUUAGGCAAGUAAGACAUUGACCGGAGCACGGUUAUGCAACAACGGAGAAGGAACUUCUGGUGUUGGUAUUUGCAUUAAGUUCAGCUCCUACUUGGUUGGUGCUAAGGUGAUAGCAUACACGGAUCAUGCUACACUAAAGCACAUGUGAUCAAGAAGGAAGACAAGCCACGACUCAUCUGUUGGAUUCUGCUCCUACAAGAAUUUGAUUUGGAAAUCAGAGAUAAGGUAGGAGUAGAAAAUUGUGUGGCUGCUCAUCUCUCAAGGAUUUGAGUAACCGAUUGACUUCUUGAGAGAUGAUACUCUUCUGGAGAUCACUAUAUCUAGUCCAAGGUAUGAGAACUAAGUGAAUUUUAUGGAGACUGGAUAUAUAUAUCUCUAGAUGAAGACAAGAAGAAGUUAUAUUCACCUCAGAAAAUACCACCCUUGGGAGAACCCCUAUCUAUUGAAGUCCGUGCUAUUGGUUUACUCCAACCGCUGCAUCCCGCUAUGUGAGACCCGCAAGAUUCUCGACUGUGCUACUCCUUACCAUAAGGAUGACACUACAGAGUAUUCCGUAUCCAUGCUUAGGUUUGGCAGAAUCCAUAAUUCUAGCCAACCAAGUUUUAAGACGCUAAAGAAUCUGUGCGGUGCCCAAGAUGUUAGAUGCUACACCACUGAAGAGCAACCUUCAGUUGGAAGUAAUCGACAUAUGGGGAGUUCACUUUGUGAGUCUUUCCCUAUGUCAGAGCAAAUGCAUCUUGGAGGCCAAGGACUAUUUGUCCAAAUGGAUGAAGCACUUCCUGUGUUGCGGCCGACUCGAAGAAUUCAAAGAAGAUGAUUCAGGAAAUCACAUUUCCUUGUUUUAAAUUUCAAAGAAUCAUGUUUUGUGGUGAAGGCUCACACUUCACAAGACAAGACCUACAGGAAGUGUCUCAGCGAGUUGAGAGUAAAACCACCGGGCUACUACUCCAUACCAUCCCUAGACCAAUGGCCAAGCAGAAAUAUCUAACAAGACGAUCAGAAACAUUCUGCAGAAGAUAGCUAAUGCCAUGGGGAAAGGAUGGAAUGGCAUGAUACCCGAGGCACUCUGGACCUAUUGAACAUCCUUCAAGACGCUGAUUGGACAAAUACUGCACCAGCUGAUCUAUGGCAAAACUUGUCAUACACCAGUUGACCAUGAGUUCAAAUCCCACGGGGCAAUUAAGAGGUGAAAAAUGGAUCUUCAAUCAGUCGUGGUUAAAAGUCAAAUCCAAUGGGCUGAAUUGGAUGAAUGGAGGAAGUAGGCUUACCACAGCUCCAAGCUCUACAAGGAGCGGAUGAAAAGAUGACACGAUAAGCGGAUCAAGAUCAAGCAUUUCGAAAUGGGAAAAUAAGGUACUACUCUUUAAUUCCCACCUUCGUCUGAUUGGUCGUGACAAGCUUAGAAGUAAGUGGAAAGAGCCUUAUCUAAUUAACCCUCCAGGACGAUGACGGGAAUGUUGUAAAUAUUCCUCGAGCCCGAACUACUAGAACUCAAAGGGAUAAACGACUAUGAGUUAUUCGAGCUAGAGCCCUCGUUUAUGGUCAUCGCCAGACCUUAAACAUACCUUACCCUAGUCUAGGAUAAUGGGCGCCAGUUUAUUUCUCAAGUUUUGUUUCAGAAGCGCCCAGUUAUUUUUGAAAAAAAAACUAAAAUAAAAUGAAAUAAAUGCCUCAUGCUUGUGCUUUAGUUGGUUGGUGCACAUUUGUGUGCCAACCGACCCCCCCUAUUCUAAUAUUUUCAUCAAGUGCGCAGAUGAACAUCAUGAACAACACUGAGACGGACUCUUUGGCGAAGUUGAGCAAAAUUUGAUGCAACUCAAGAUCCGGUAGCUAGGUUAGACCCGUGCCUAACCAAAACAUCGACAUAACAACUCAUCAAGGAGGUUUGCAACCCCAUCCUUCUUUUCAUUCCUGAUUUCAUUCAAAUUAGUUCUAAAUGAAAUAAAAUUAAAUUUUGAAUGAAACUCUUGGAAGAGAACUCAUGACUUCUAAAGGUGGCUAAGCUUUAUUUCUUAUGCGAGUACUCGUUACCUUUGGAACUUAUUACAUGAUAGGAUCACUUGAACUUUUGUUUAUUGACCCUCAUGAUAUAAUGAAAUGAGAGACAUAUUCUUUCUAAUUCAUAGUCUUGGAGUGUUUCUUUAAAAGCUAAAAAAAGGCAACUCUCAUUCACUUUCAACCAUACAAAGUCCUAUCCAGAGCCAUACAUGAAUAGAAUUGAACCCACAUGGCUAUCUUUUGACAUUUAGAGCUUGAUCAAACAUCAUUGCCUUUCGAGAAAUGUCAUGAUCAUCAAGUACUUUGGUCAUCCACUGUGCAUGUUCAUUAAUAAAGUCCAACAAAAGUGAUUCACCAAAAGCUCUCCAUCCCCCUGAAAAAAAGAGUGAGCAACAAUCUUACUCGAGCAAAAAAAAAAGGGACAUAGGGGAAAGAUGGAGAAGCCAAAGUCAAACACCACUCAAAGGGACAUUCAUCCCUCACAUACACAUGCACAUGACCAAGUUCUAAAAUAUGACAUGAUCUCUUAAAGACAAGAUCUUUGAUCUUGCAAAAUAAAUGAGGAAGAUAUGCAAGUUUAUCCCUACCUUGAGCCACACAAAAGCCUAUUUAAACAUAGGAGAGGUUUUCUCUAAAGACCUUAGUGAGAUUCAAACACAAAAUGAGAGACUAAGAGUGAGUUGAACGAGAUGAGAGCAUGCCUCCUGUUUUGAAAAUCUUGCAAAACCUCCAAGUACAGAGAAAAGGAAGUGAAUCAUGUUCUCCAUCGAGUUGUUCUGGGGAUCAAUAUUCGAAGGUGAAGGUGUUAGCCACCCGGAAUCCAAGGUAUGAGGAAAGUUUAGAAAUAAAUCUUAUGCAUUCUUUGAUUUCAUGAAACCAGGCUUCGCUUUUCUUUGACCUUAUUGCUCGGGGCAAGCAAAGUCUGGCUGUGGGGGUGUGUUGGCGGUCGAUAUCGGUGAUUUUCGCCGCCAACGCUCUGCCUGAUUUCUUAAAACAAAGGUCAUGUACAUGCCAAAUUAACUUAUAUUAACAAGUUCCAUAAGUUUUGGUGAGUAUUUGAAUGCAGGAACAACAUGUAUGAAAUUUGGCUAAAAUGGGAGAAAACCCAGGCCGGCCAACCUAUCCACCUUGGCAAUUCAGUCUCAUAUUUGGUCAGAGUGCUCAUGAGUGCAAAUACAAGCCAAUCCAACUUGGUUUUAUACAAAAUGCAUAAACCAAUACUGAAAGGUUUGAACCAUGACAAGUUGGGUCCACCUGCAGUGACCAAACUCAGAACCAAGUCCUAAACCGACUUGAGGAGAAAAAUAUAAGCGUUGAUUGACACGUCGGUGGAACGGAGGGCAGAGGGGGGACAACCCCAGGCCGGCCGGCCUCUAACUGCAUCGCUUCGGACCAACGCAAAUACAACUGACAUCUACGGGUGAUCCAGGACAUCCAGCAGAAAGGCGGUGGAAAACAGACGACACCCCAGGCCGGCCAGGCUGACCUUAUUGCGCCAUGUGUGCAGCCUUCAAGAGGAAGUUACAACCGCCAUGUGUGCAGCCCUCAAUUGGAAGUUACAACCGCCAUGCAUGCGUGGACAGCUUUGCUUCCAAGUCAAGCCAACCAUAGCUUAGCUUACAAGCUAAGCAACCUUAGCCUUGCUUACAAGCUAAGCAACCCACCUUGGAGGCCUAUAAAAGGGAGCCCCCACCCCUCAUUCAGCACACACCAUUUGGAGAGGAGAAGAGUCCAAGCAAGAUGUGAGUCCCACUUAGUAGAAUAGGGAGAGUAUGAGGUGAGAGUCUUGGUGAAAGCCAAAGUAAAGGAGCGGUGCCGAGUUCUUUCGGCCAUACUCCAUUUUGUAAGCCACCUCGGAGGAAUGGAAUAUCUUCGGAGUGAAGUUCCUCGUCUCUCGUCGGGGGAUGGAGAGCUUCCGAUGAACCACUUUUGAUGGACUUUAUUGAUGAAUGUGCGUGGUGGAUGACCAAAGUACUAGAUGAUCAUGACAUUUCUCGAAAGGCAACGAUGUUUGAUCAAGCUCAAAAUAUAAAAAGAUAGCUAUGUGGGCUCAACUCUACUCAUAUAUGGCUCUGGAUAGGACUUUUGUAAAGUUGAAAGAGCAUGAGAAUUGCCUCAUUUUAGCCUUUUAAAAACAACUCUCCAAGACUUUGAAUUAGAAAGAACAUGUCUUGCAUUUCAUUAUAUCAUGAGGGUCAAUAGACAAGCUUCAGGUGAUCCUAUUAUGUAAGUUCCAAAGGUAACAAGUACUUGCAUAAGAAAUAAAACUUAGACACCCUUGAGAAUCA